GUAGGUGAACCUGCGGAAGGAUCAUUAAGGAGUACAAGACGGAGCUUCGGCUCCUGACUCCCCACCCUUUGCCUACUUUUCCCCCAUACUUCGGCGGGCGAUAUAGAGGGGGCAACCCCUCUGUCCCAGCCCGCCGGCAUUACAAAACCUAAAGCUUUAACAGUGUCGUCUGAGCAUUUGCAAGCAAAAUAUUAAAAACUUUCAACAACGGAUCUCUUGGUUCUGGCAUCGAUGAAGAACGCAGCAUCUG
rnacentral:misc_RNA from 1 species